GCCGUGAGGUUGAGAGGAUUCUGUUUCCUUUCCAGGCAGCAGUCUGCCAACCAUCUC
rnacentral:miRNA from 1 species